CACCAUGCACACGUCUGAGGCUCCUUAAGGAAAAGCUGACCACGUCCCAUGUCAAUCUGAGACUGAACUGGACAGCUGAAUGCCAAAAUUCUGAUACGUUACCUGAGGAAGUCAAAGUGAAGGAAACAGUCCUUUAAAAAUUGUGCAGAGCUGCUGUCAGUUAUGGAGGCAGAAGACCAGUCCUUCCUGCCGCAGGAUCCUGGUGACAGGGGUAGCAAGUGAGCGUAUCUUUAAGAAGCGUGGCAAAAUGAUCUGCUCCGGUCUUGCUGUUCCGAAGUCUCAAACAGAUGUCAGCGCCUUUACCGAAGAACACACUAAAAAGUGGAUUAGACAAGCACACAGGGAACGCUGGAUUCAGACUGACAGCCAAGGGCUAAGCUUGUCUCACCAGCAGAAGAGAGCUGAUUCUCUGUGGGAAAUCCUCAUGUAUACAAUGCAGAAAUUUUGA
rnacentral:lncRNA from 1 species